AUUGAACGCUAGCGGGAUGCUUUACACAUGCAAGUCGAACGAGUGGCGGACGGGUGAGUAAUAUAUCGGAACGUGCCCAGUAGCGGGGGAUAACUACUCGAAAGAGUGGCUAAUACCGCAUACUAUCGGAGCGGCCCAUAUCGGAUUAGCUAGUUGGUGGGGUAAAGGCUCACCAAGGCAACGAUCCGUAGCUGGUCUGAGAGGACGACCAGCCACACUGGGACUGAGACACGGCCCAGACUCCUACGGGAGGCAGCAGUGGGGAAUAUUGGACAAUGGGGGAAAGCCUGAUGCAGCCAUGCCGCGUGUAUGAGAAGGCCUUAGGGUUGUAAAGUACUUUUGGCAGAGAAGCGUUAUCUGCAGAAGAAGCACCGGCUAACUACGUGCCAGCAGCCGCGGUAAUUC
rnacentral:rRNA from 1 species